rnacentral:rRNA from 1 species
AGCGUUGUUCGGAAUUAUUGGGCGUAAAGGGUGCGUAGGCGGUUUGGUAAGUCUGAUGUGAAAUCUAUGGGCUCAACUCAUAGUCUGCAUCGGAAACUGCCGGGCUUGAGUGUGGGAGAGGUGAGUGGAAUUCCUGGUGUAGCGGUGAAAUGCGUAGAUAUCAGGAGGAACACCUGUGGCGAAAGCGGCUCACUGGACCAUAACUGACGCUGAUGCACGAAAGCUAGGGGAGCAAACAGG